rnacentral:lncRNA from 1 species
AUCACUACUGCUGGGGUAUUUUGCUGCCAAGAUAAUGGUCUCUAUUAUGGAUUGAAUGUUAAUGGGCAGUCCUUUACCCCAGACUACACCCAGCCCCUUCUGCAGCUCCACAUUUGAAGGCCUUGUCUAAGUGGCAUCUCAAUGAGAUGGGCAUGGAAGUCAUCCAACAGCUGCUGGAGGGACUGUGCAGAGUUACGACGGAGACAGUGACUCCUCCAAAGGGGUCUCGAGGGGAUGCAUUGUGCUGGAGUCUCAAUCAAGUGCCUGGAAGCUGAACGUGAAAAACAGUGCUGCCUGGAUUACAGAGAUACUGGCCAUAAAUGCAUUCGUGGGCUCUCAAGAAGCAUUAGGGAUGCCAUGAAGGAGGGGCAUUUUUACUUUGUGUCCUACCAAAUUCACUUAAUUAUACAUAGCAAUGAGGAAAGUGUGGGAAACAGCAAAUCUGACCUUAGUGUGCCUUUGACUAAUCCAAGCUUAUUGUUUGUGAGUUAAUAUUGUGAAAUGAUCCCCUGUGCAUAUAAUGCAGUCAUCUUCAAAUAAAAAUCUGUGGCUUCAGA